AAAAAGGGCUUCUGUCAUGAGUGGCAUAUGCAGGGCAACUUGAUUGCUCUAAGUGCAGAAUUGACAUCAAGAGAUUUCGGAAGCAUAAUUUUUUGGUAUUUGGGCAGCUGGUGAUCGUUGGUCCCAAAGCCUGU
ensembl:snRNA Gm22472 predicted gene, 22472